AGUGAACGCUGGCGGUAGGCCUAACACAUGCAAGUCGAACGGCAGCACAGUAAGAGCUUGCUCUUACGGGUGGUGAGUGGCGGACGGGUGAGGAAUACAUCGGAAUCUACUUUUUCGUGGGUGAUAACGUAGGGAAACUUACGCUAAUACCGCAUACGACCUACGGGUGAAAGCAGGGGAUCUUCGGACUUUGCGAGAUUGAAUGAUCCGAUGUCGGAUUAGCUAGUUGGCGGGGUAAAGGCCCACCAAGGCGACGAUCCGUAGCUGGGCUGAGAGGAUGAUCAGCCACACUGGAACUGAGACACGGUCCAGACUCCUACGGGAGGCAGCAGUGGGGAAGAUUGGACAAUGGGCGCAAGCCUGAUCCAGCCAUACCGCGUGGGUGAAGAAGGCCUUCGGGUUGUAAAGCCCUUUUGUUGGGAAAGAAAAGCAGCAGGUUAAUACCCCGCUGUUCUGACGGUACCCAAAGAAUAAGCACCGGCUAACUUCGUG
rnacentral:rRNA from 1 species